GCUCGCGCUGGCAGGAGCCAAUGAGCAAAUUGGCUCCAAAAUUAUUAAAUUGGCUCAAGAAAAUCAUGAUUGGCUCCAACUUACGAAAAGUAUGACUUUGAAUAUCCAGUCUAAAUUUAGCAUUUGCUAUUUUAAGAAUGGAAAAGUACACAUUUGGUUUCCCAUUUACAACUCCGCUUUACCGCUUCUAAUCAUAAAACACUGCGACACAGUCUGCUUUUUGUGGGGUCAUUGACUGGACUAUAUUUGUUACUUCCCUUCCAAAUAGAAUAUCGUUAUAAACAGUAACACAGUCUAAUACACUUACCUCAUGGUAUGUUUACAUGUUUAUCAGCUGAUAAAUAGUGACACUAAUUGGUGUGAAUUGUUGAAUGUGCACUGGAUAAUUGGUCUUAAUUCGAUAUUGAAAAACAAUAACUAGCGGCAUCUUAAGAUUAUCGCCAAUCAUAUCAACAGCUUGGUAUGAAAUGGACGACUUUACGAUACAGGUAGUCCUCAAACCAAAUCUUUGGCAUUAACCAAGCAAGCUGAAGCAGCACAUUGAAAUGUGGUUCUGAUGUCACUGUCAUGCCACUAACUUAGAUUUUAUGAAAACAUUGCUGACCAAAUUAGCCUGGAAAAUGUUAUUCUUAUAGCUACUGAGCUGCAAGCUUUUAUGAUCAGUUUUAAAGUGAUUAAAAUGUAGCUACCAAAAUAAAGUUGGAUAUACA